rnacentral:tRNA from 1 species
CGGGGUGUAGCGCAGUCUGGUAGCGCGCUUGCUUUGGGAGCAAGAUGUCGGGGGUUCGAAUCCCUCCACCCCGA